CCUACGGGAGGCAGCAGUGAGGAAUAUUGGUCAAUGGCCGUAAGGCUGAACCAGCCAAGUCGCGUGAAGGAAGAAGGAUCUAUGGUUUGUAAACUUCUUUUAUAGGGGAAUAAAGGUAUCCACGUGCGGAGAUUUGCAUGUACCCUAUGAAUAAGCAUCGGCUAACUCCGUGCCAGCAGCCGCGGUAAUACGGAGGAUGCGAGCGUUAUCCGGAUUUAUUGGGUUUAAAGGGUGCGUAGGUUGUUGUUUAAGUCAGCGGUGAAAGUUCGUGGCUCAACCAUGAAAUUGCCGUUGAAACUGGGUGACUUGAGUGUUGGUGAGGUAGGCGGAAUGCGGGGUGUAGCGGUGAAAUGCGUAGAUAUAACGCGGAACUCCGGUUGCGAAGGCAGAUUGCUGGGCCGUAACUGACGCUGAGGCGCGAAAGCGUGGGGAGCAAACAGGAUUAGAUACCCUAGUAGUC
rnacentral:rRNA from 1 species